rnacentral:rRNA from 1 species
UGGGAAUUUUGGACAAUGGGGCAACCCUGAUCCAGCAAUGCCGCGUGUGUGAAGAAGGCCUUCGGGUUGUAAAGCACUUUUGUCCGGAAAGAAAACGUCGUGGUUAAUACCCGUGGCGGCUGACGGUACCGGAAGAAUAAGCACCGGCUAACUACGUGCCAGCAGCCGCGGUAAUACGUAGGGUGCAAGCGUUAAUCGGAAUUACUGGGCGUAAAGCGUGCGCAGGCGGUCCGCUAAGACAGAUGUGAAAUCCCCGGGCUUAACCUGGGAACUGCAUUUGUGACUGGCGGGCUAGAGUAUGGCAGAGGGGGGUAGAAUUCCACGUGUAGCAGUGAAAUGCGUAGAGAUGUGGAGGAAUACCGAUGGCGGAGGCAGCCCCCUGGGCCAAUACUGACGCUCAUGCACGAAAGCGUGGGGAGCAAACAGGAUUAGAUACCCUGGUAGUCCACGCCCUAAACGAUGUCAAC